GUCCACGCCCUAAACGAUGGAUGCUAGAUAUUGGGAGUAUCGACCCUCCCAGUGUCGGUUAAAAGUAAACACAUUAAGCAUCCCGCCUGGGGAGUACGGUCGCAAGACUAAAACUCAAAGGAAUAGACGGGGACCCGCACAAGCGGAGGAGCAUGUGGUUUAAUUCGAUGGUAAGCGAGGAACCUCACCUAGGUUUGACAUGUAGCUGCAAGCCGCGAGAAAACCGUGGCCGCCUUCGAGGGUGCUACACAGGUGCUGCAUGGUUGCCGU
rnacentral:rRNA from 1 species